rnacentral:piRNA from 1 species
UACUCAUGGUAUCCCAGGCAUCUGGUAUGUGU